rnacentral:rRNA from 1 species
AUCGAACGCUGGCGGCAGGCCUAACACAUGCAAGUCGAACGAGGGGCGGACGGGUGAGUCAUGUCUGGGAAACUGCGUGCUGCAGGGGGAUCACUGCCGGAAACGGUUACUAAUACCGCAUACCAUCAGCUGGCCGCCGAUGGGCUUAGCUUGUUGGUGGGGUAACGGCUCACCAAGGCGACGAUCCCUAGCUGGUAUGAGAGGAUGACCAGCCACACUGGAACUGAGACACGGUCCAGACUCCUACGGGAGGCAGCAGUGGGGAAUAUGGCACAAUGGGCGCAAGCCUGAUGCAGCCAUGCGGCGUGUAUGAAGAAGGCCUUCGGGUGGUAAAGUACUUUCAGCGGUGAGGCGUUACCCGCAGAAGAAGCACCGGCUAACUCCGUGCCAGCAGCCGCGGUAAUUC